AGCGUACACGGUGGAUGCCCUGGCAGUCAGAGGCGAUGAAGGACGUGCUAAUCUGCGAUAAGCGUCGGUAAGGUGAUAUGAACCGUUAUAACCGGCGAUUUCCGAAUGGGGAAACCCAGUGUGAUUCGUCACACUAUCAUUAACUGAAUCCAUAGGUUAAUGAGGCGAACCGGGGGAACUGAAACAUCUAAGUACCCCGAGGAAAAGAAAUCAACCGAGAUUCCCCCAGUAGCGGCGAGCGAACGGGGAGCAGCCCAGAGCCUGAAUCAGUGUGUGUGUUAGUGGAAGCGUCUGGAAAGGCGCGCGAUACAGGGUGACAGCCCCGUACACAAAAAUGCACAUGCUGUGAGCUCGAUGAGUAGGGCGGGACACGUGGUAUCCUGUCUGAAUAUGGGGGGACCAUCCUCCAAGGCUAAAUACUCCUGACUGACCGAUAGUGAACCAGUACCGUGAGGGAAAGGCGAAAAGAACCCCGGCGAGGGAGUGAAAAAGAACCUGAAACCGUGUACGUACAAGCAGUGGGAGCACGCUUAGGCGUGUGACUGCGUACCUUUUGUAUAAUGGGUCAGCGACUUAUAUUCUGUAGCAAGGUUAACCGAAUAGGGGAGCCGAAGGGAAACCGAGUCUUAACUGGGCGUUAAGUUGCAGGGUAUAGACCCGAAACCCGGUGAUCUAGCCAUGGGCAGGUUGAAGGUUGGGUAACACUAACUGGAGGACCGAACCGACUAAUGUUGAAAAAUUAGCGGAUGACUUGUGGCUGGGGUGAAAGGCCAAUCAAACCGGGAGAUAGCUGGUUCUCCCCGAAAGCUAUUUAGGUAGCGCCUCGUGAAUUCAUCUCCGGGGGUAGAGCACUGUUUCGGCAAGGGGGUCAUCCCGACUUACCAACCCGAUGCAAACUGCGAAUACCGGAGAAUGUUAUCACGGGAGACACACGGCGGGUGCUAACGUCCGUCGUGAAGAGGGAAACAACCCAGACCGCCAGCUAAGGUCCCAAAGUCAUGGUUAAGUGGGAAACGAUGUGGGAAGGCCCAGACAGCCAGGAUGUUGGCUUAGAAGCAGCCAUCAUUUAAAGAAAGCGUAAUAGCUCACUGGUCGAGUCGGCCUGCGCGGAAGAUGUAACGGGGCUAAACCAUGCACCGAAGCUGCGGCAGCGACACUGUGUGUUGUUGGGUAGGGGAGCGUUCUGUAAGCCUGCGAAGGUGUGCUGUGAGGCAUGCUGGAGGUAUCAGAAGUGCGAAUGCUGACAUAAGUAACGAUAAAGCGGGUGAAAAGCCCGCUCGCCGGAAGACCAAGGGUUCCUGUCCAACGUUAAUCGGGGCAGGGUGAGUCGACCCCUAAGGCGAGGCCGAAAGGCGUAGUCGAUGGGAAACAGGUUAAUAUUCCUGUACUUGGUGUUACUGCGAAGGGGGGACGGAGAAGGCUAUGUUGGCCGGGCGACGGUUGUCCCGGUUUAAGCGUGUAGGCUGGUUUUCCAGGCAAAUCCGGAAAAUCAAGGCUGAGGCGUGAUGACGAGGCACUACGGUGCUGAAGCAACAAAUGCCCUGCUUCCAGGAAAAGCCUCUAAGCAUCAGGUAACAUCAAAUCGUACCCCAAACCGACACAGGUGGUCAGGUAGAGAAUACCAAGGCGCUUGAGAGAACUCGGGUGAAGGAACUAGGCAAAAUGGUGCCGUAACUUCGGGAGAAGGCACGCUGAUACGUAGGUGAAGUCCCUCGCGGAUGGAGCUGAAAUCAGUCGAAGAUACCAGCUGGCUGCAACUGUUUAUUAAAAACACAGCACUGUGCAAACACGAAAGUGGACGUAUACGGUGUGACGCCUGCCCGGUGCCGGAAGGUUAAUUGAUGGGGUCAGCGCAAGCGAAGCUCUUGAUCGAAGCCCCGGUAAACGGCGGCCGUAACUAUAACGGUCCUAAGGUAGCGAAAUUCCUUGUCGGGUAAGUUCCGACCUGCACGAAUGGCGUAAUGAUGGCCAGGCUGUCUCCACCCGAGACUCAGUGAAAUUGAACUCGCUGUGAAGAUGCAGUGUACCCGCGGCAAGACGGAAAGACCCCGUGAACCUUUACUAUAGCUUGACACUGAACAUUGAGCCUUGAUGUGUAGGAUAGGUGGGAGGCUUUGAAGUGUGGACGCCAGUCUGCAUGGAGCCGACCUUGAAAUACCACCCUUUAAUGUUUGAUGUUCUAACGUUGACCCGUAAUCCGGGUUGCGGACAGUGUCUGGUGGGUAGUUUGACUGGGGCGGUCUCCUCCUAAAGAGUAACGGAGGAGCACGAAGGUUGGCUAAUCCUGGUCGGACAUCAGGAGGUUAGUGCAAUGGCAUAAGCCAGCUUGACUGCGAGCGUGACGGCGCGAGCAGGUGCGAAAGCAGGUCAUAGUGAUCCGGUGGUUCUGAAUGGAAGGGCCAUCGCUCAACGGAUAAAAGGUACUCCGGGGAUAACAGGCUGAUACCGCCCAAGAGUUCAUAUCGACGGCGGUGUUUGGCACCUCGAUGUCGGCUCAUCACAUCCUGGGGCUGAAGUAGGUCCCAAGGGUAUGGCUGUUCGCCAUUUAAAGUGGUACGCGAGCUGGGUUUAGAACGUCGUGAGACAGUUCGGUCCCUAUCUGCCGUGGGCGCUGGAGAACUGAGGGGGGCUGCUCCUAGUACGAGAGGACCGGAGUGGACGCAUCACUGGUGUUCGGGUUGUCAUGCCAAUGGCACUGCCCGGUAGCUAAAUGCGGAAGAGAUAAGUGCUGAAAGCAUCUAAGCACGAAACUUGCCCCGAGAUGAGUUCUCCCUGACUCCUUGA
rnacentral:rRNA from 1 species